UGGGAUGGAUCCCUGGAUAUGACGGU
rnacentral:misc_RNA from 1 species